rfam:Stegodyphus mimosarum contig1534, whole genome shotgun sequence.
GCCUUCGGGGUGUAGUGGUCAGCACGCUUGACGCGUAGCCGAGAAGUCCGUGGUUCGAUUCCCGGCGAAGGCG